rnacentral:lncRNA from 1 species
GGCAAGGAACAUUCCACCUGUCUGCCAAAUUCCAGGAGGCUGGAAGCAUGCUGGAAAUCAUACCACCACGACUGCAGCUGAGGGAAGGUCUGACUUAAAACCUUGCCACAAUGAAAAUCCAUCUACCAGUAUUGGUCACCAGUACCUUAACAGGUUCUAAUAUCAGUACAAGCAGCAGAAAUUUGAAGGCAUACCAGAAAUUUUAAAGAGUGCCUACUAACUUCCAGAACACUAACAAUGCAACAAGGAAUAAUAAAAAACUAACUGGUAUACUUGCAAAUAGUUUUCUAUCUUCAGCUGACGAGCUAGGCGCAGAACCCUUUUGGCCACACGAAUGCAGUGUUAUGACACUAGGAAGAAUCUUUUAAAAAGUGAACCUUAGAGACCCAAAUUUCAGAAGGCAAAUUAUGAGAAAAAUAUAUCUUUCAACUAUGAUUUUUUCAGGCAACUUAUGACUGGAAACAAUUGGAGCAGGUCGCACUGCAAGCUGUUGUAAGUCUGUGCCAUUCCGCAUUCUGUCCUCAGGCAGCCCUAUCAGUAAGGAGGCAUGUUACAGCUUUUUAUUUAUUCUAACCUGCUUUGUUGUUUUCUGCAGCACAGAGAUCAUUAAGAAAGAAGUUUCUCAGAUACAGAAAAACAUAACCCAAAUUUUUAAUGACCUCUCUAGUUCAGCUCCCCGCUGCAUAUGCAGCUAAUUAUUUUUCGCUUGCACAUUUCCUAGGCCUUUCUUCAUUCUGAUCAGCCAUGGAAACUAAGAGCUACUAAUAAAAAGUGACCAUUCCUCUAAAAAUUGUGGCACCUGGGGAGAGGAGGUACUACAUGCUCAACCUGUGAGGCAUUCUGCUCCUAACCUUUGAAAAGUCUGAAGACAGAAUGGAGGUGUCAUCUCCUCUACAAUCAGAUUUCCCUGUUCAGAUUUGGGUUCCAAACCAAGGCAGGAAGAGCAGGAGUGAAUACUCCUGGGAUUUCUGAGCUGCACCUGGCUAUGCCUCCUUCGGCAUUCAUUCCACACACGCAAGUGAAGAGGACAGAAUUUGAGACAGAGGAGGCUCUUUCAGAGCAGAGGGGAAUUUUGCAAGUGUUCAGGGGAAUAAAAACACUUACCUGCCGCGUGUGCUGCGAAGGAAGAGUGCUUUUGGCAGCAGAGGCUGCACAGCUCUGGAAGAAGGGGAGGCAAGUUGGAGCAGCUUCAUCUCUUAAGAGCGUCCCAGCUCUGCCAAACCAAACAAGACAAGGGAUAACAGUCAUUCAGGUGUAA